GUGAGCCGGACGCAGGCGUGCCUGCGCAGUGCGCGGAGGAGUGCUGUUCGUGUGUUCGAGUCCCUGGGUUGCUUCCUGGGGUCUGUGGUGCUGGGUGUGCUAUCUGCGUGUGAUUCUCUAGCGAGAGAUUGUGGGCGAGUGACCGAGUGGGCAAGGGGCCGUCACUGUGUGUGCGUGAUUUUGACAGUGUGUGGUGGUAGCUUCUGACUCCGCGUGGGUCGUUGAAUGUAUGACUGGGACCGUUUAGCGGUGGAUACACAACUGUGUGCGGCUGUGGAAGAUUGCCUCAUCCGUUACGUUCCCAUUUCCGUGGAACAACAGUUUUACCAGAAGGUUUCGAAGGAACCUUAAAGUUUGGAAGCGUAAGAGUUUAUCUGGCGGCUUUGGUGUCAUCAAAUGUGAGAAGCCCUGGACUUUACACAUCCCGAGCCAGUGUGAUCCAGUAUGAUUGGGAGUCCGAGUGCCAGAUGCCGGUCAGGACCUGUUAUGCUGGGUCUCAGAAUGCGGAAACUCUCCCUGUCCGAGGUGGAACAGUUUGUCCUUGAAGAUGGGAGCCUCACUGUAUUGCCCAGGCUGGUCUUGAACUCCGGAGCUCAAGUGAUCGUCUUGCUUCAGCCUUGCAAAAUGAUGGUGAAGCUGCAUCAUUGUCUGGGGUAAAUACCUGAGGUUCGUUGUCUCACGCCAAGGGAAUCAAGGACGUGGACACACAAGAAAUGGAGUCCCUGUCUGACCGGGCCAUGUUGUAUGUUCCUUGCUGUACACGUGGUUGACAAAGAAAAGGGAAGAUGGAGCUGCGAUGUUGGACAUGCCUGGCCCCCAGGACAUACAGCCCUGCCGAGCAAAUAAUGAACGUAACUCACAAACUUCCUGCUUAUCAUCAAACGCACGCAUCCACUUAUCAUCAAACACCUCGGGUGACAGAAGAAUGCAGGUCAGCUCCCUGCUGCCUUGGCAUUAUCAAUCAGCCCAGGAACCAUCCUAUAAAAUCUCCAGCAAGCCUUUGUUUCCUUGCAGUCAGCUCCUCUUCCACUGAUUCUGCCUGUUGCUCCCUGAUAACAUACUUUGAUACUGUCUUUAAUAAAUCUGCCUUUCUUCACCCAC
rnacentral:lncRNA from 1 species